AUUUGGAAUUGAUUUUGUUUGUUUUGUUUUGCAAGGUGGUGAUUUAGGAAGAUGAUAUCAAAAUAUGUGUAUGGAUUUUGAUCUUGGAUUAAAAUGCGUUUAUGUUAUUGGAAUAUUGGGAUUUCCUUUAAUUUCUUAAUAACAAUAAUGAUGACAUAUAUAGAACUACCUAAUAUAUUAAUUUAAUUAAUUUGAUUAAAAAUUAAAAAAAAAUAACAAAAAGGGUUUUUU
rnacentral:lncRNA from 1 species